UGGGGAAUAUUGGACAAUGGGCGAAAGCCUGAUCCAGCCAUGCCGCGUGUGUGAAGAAGGUCUUCGGAUUGUAAAGCACUUUAAGUUGGGAGGAAGGGCAGUAAGCGAAUACCUUGCUGUUUUGACGUUACCGACAGAAUAAGCACCGGCUAACUCUGUGCCAGCAGCCGCGGUAAUACAGAGGGUGCAAGCGUUAAUCGGAAUUACUGGGCGUAAAGCGCGCGUAGGUGGUUCGUUAAGUGGAAUGUGAAAGCCCCGGGCUCAACCUGGGAACUGCAUCGAAAACUGGCGAGCUAGAGUAGGGCAGAGGGAGGUGGAAUUUCCUGUGUAGCGGUGAAAUGCGUAGAUAUAGGAAGGACCACCAGUGGCGAAGGCGACCACCUGGGCUCAUACAGACACUGAGGUGCGAAAGCGUGGGGAGCAAACAGG
rnacentral:rRNA from 1 species